AGACUUUCCCCUUACUUCCCUCUGACCCUGAGCUGUUUUAUUUGUAUUUUACUGUCUGCUUUUUCUGUUUGCUUGUAGUUAGAAGAGAAGUGAUUUCUUUGAAAUGCAUGAGGUUUAAAGUGACGGUUUGUCCAAAAUAAUCGUGCUCCUGGUCUGUCAAUUUCCACCAUCAGAUUGGUGGGUGACAGAGGUCCUAGGAGAAGAAAUAUAAAUGAUCAUAGAUAGUAGACUUUGAAUAUAAAUCUGAAAAGCACUUUGUUCUUUCCAUCACAGUCUGCCUAUUACCAUUGGUCGUAAGGUACUCAGAAGACCGGAAGCUGGCUAUAUCUUGCUUGAAAGCUUCUUCUAAACUGGUUCUUUCUCUGCUGUCCCCAGCAGAUGCUACUGCAGCUGCACAACCCUCUUAUGUACCACCCACUACCUGCCCCUCCCCACCCUCAGCUCUGCUUUGGGAGAUUAUUUUGAGGAACAUCACUAAAAUCAGACAUUUCUUCUAAUCUGUAGGUGUAUAGUUCUACAGGGAUUGAUGACAAACCAGUCGUUCUUCAUUUAACUGGGCAACAGGUGGCACUAGAGACCAUACAAUCUCCACAUUUCUAAACCCUGCCUGUUCUUACCAACAGCUGUAGGCAGGCGAGGUCUGUUACUUAAACCACUCUUACCAACACCCCCAAAAUCCCUUGUUCCCUUUUCCUUCAGUUACACUCACUUCCCUCCACUGAACUCCAUUCCAGGACCAAACUUUUUAUGCUCCUUCUGCAUGGUGAAUGUGCUAGAGAAGACCCCCACAUAUAAUAUGGGACACCUGUGAACUCAUGGUUAGGCUCUCUGCACGGUCCUGGACUAACAGAGUUUCCUGUCUAAUUUUCCUUAAGAGUCACUUCAAACUUCACAGACCGUAUCUUCUUUAGUGAUGUAUUGCAUACAUGCAAAUGCCACGUGUGGGGCUUUGCACUGUGAGUAAAGUAAAAGGGCUGAGUUCCAUGUCUGGGUUUGUGAGAUGCAGAACACAGCAGUAUGUUUAGAAUGGCAAGAAGAUGCCUAAACAGAACUAAUACAGCAGAUGUAGAUGCAAAGAGCCUCAGGUAACCAUGAGAAUGUAAGUCCUCCAGUGUUUCCUCUCACACAAGUCCCUGAAAAGGCAGUCAUUGUACUUCCUCAGACAAAACAUGGAGAUUUGAUUGGUCUUACGAGAUCUGAAGGGUGAGGGAGACUCUGGAUGACCUCUGGGGAGUCUAUAGAUCUGUCACAUCUUUCCUCUGUUUACAAAUCUCUAUCUUAAUACACAGCGAAUGAAGUUCAGACAUAUGAAGGAUAGCAGUACAAUCAUAACAUUUUGACCUAAGGAUACCUGAAUUCUGCCUUGGCUCUGCUCUUUUAAGUUUCUUGAAGAAAAAAAAAAAAAAAAAAAAAAGGAUCAUGGCAUGUUAUAAUCUAGGCACAUUUGCCUGGUAAUCCAAGGGAGAAAGUUCUGGUAAAAGUGAGUAAGCAUAUGACCAAGGCCCAAAGCAUAGGCAGGGCCUCUUCCUCCCUAAGUCUAACUCUUAACACUAGCCAGUGUCUGAGGAUUCAAGGAAAGGGAGCAAGUGGUGCACAACUGAGGGGAAAAGGAAGAGGCAAGUGGGCAGGUUGGGUCCUCCACAGGAGGGAAGCAGUAGAAAAAAAUAUGAACCAGACAGCUAGGCCUCCUUGGUGCAGGGGGAGUAGGAGAGAGCUUUGCCUCGUUUUUUGUUUUAUUUUUCCUCUGAGCAUAGCUCCAGAGAGUAAGCCACACCAUGUGUGGUACUGUUAACACAUUGUAGGCCUGCCUGUAAGUAAGACCCAACCAGUGCCUGGAAAUGUGAUUCAAGCAGAUGAAAAUUCCCUUCUUGUGGGGAGCCAGGAGGGAGAUAAGGGGUUGAAGUCUCCUUUAUACUGAAGUGACAUUCAAGAACUUUCAAUAAUUUGGUCCCCAAUUAAUGUUUCCAAUCUUACCUCUCACUUACGUUCCCACUGUAACCAAGAACUUGUCAAUAUGCACUAAACAAGUUGUACUCUUCCACAUUUCCUUUGCUUACAUUAUUGUCUCUUCCUAGAAUUCCCUCAUCUACUUGGUGAACCUUAAAAUCCAGCCCAAAAGUCAUCUCUUUUUUGAAGCCUUCUUUUACUUCCUGAGGGAGAAUUAGUUUCUUUUUUUUUUUGUUUAGUUUGUCAUGAUUUCUGUGUUUAGCUCUCUCACUAACCUGAACUGUAUGAGGAUGGCGACCAUGUGUUUGUUACUCAUAGUGUGCCCCUGGCACUUAGCAGUGCACUUGGUAUUCAGUAGAUGUUAAUUAAACACUUUUUUUUUGUUACUUAAUAAGUGAAUGAGGACUGGAAGGUGACGGAUAUGGGGCCUGCCUUGCCAGUGUAUGUCCAUUGGAGUAGCUUAUGGUAUCUUUUAAUAGAAGUUAGCCUUCUGAGACGAGGCAGUCAAACACAAGCCAGUAAAUGUUGCAAGAGUGAAGUGGGAACUACACUUAAAUGGCUGCUGAUCUCAAAGCACUGAAAGCUAGGUUAAGAGGAAUGUUAUUUGCUUAUUGGUUAGUGUGUGAGUCUGCUAGGGCUGUCAUAACAAAGUACUACAGAGGUCUUAACAGAAAUGAAUUGUCUUACAAUUCUGGAGGCUAGUAGUCUGAAAUCAAGGUUGGUUUGUCCCUUCUGAGGGCUCUGAAGAAAGAUCUGUUCCAAUCCCCUCUCCUGGGCUUGGAGAUGGUGUUGUCUCUGUGUCUUCACAUCGUCUUCCCUCUGUACUUUGUCAGUCUUUGAGUCCAAGUUUCCCCUUUCUACAAGGACAUCAGUCAUGUUGGAUUACGGCCCAAUACAUGUGCAACAAUCCUAUUUCCAAAUAGGUUAAACUCCAACUCUGCAAAUGCAGUGAAAUAUUUUACUAAAACAAACCAGUAUUAUUAAUAAAAAUAAUUUUACAGAAUUUUCUCUUUCAUUUUGAUUCAUUAAACUGGUUUUGGAAUGAGCAACUAUUUGUGUAACCACUGACUGUUAGAGAGUAUUUAGCUCUGAGACAGUCAAUACCUGGGAGAUAAUGUUUCUGUUCUGAGUGAUCUUGCAAUAGUAAUUCACUUAUCUGGGGCUGUAUUUUUUUUUAUCUGUAAAGUGAAAGUAUUGAACUAAAUAGUCUCUAUCUUGAAAAUCUCUGAAUCUUCUUUGAAGUUUUUUCUUUACAGUCCAGUGGGGUAGAUGAGACAAACAUCUGAAAAUGUAGAGAGGGUGUUUGCUAAAUAACGUUAGUAGUUUAAUGCAGAACAGAUAUACAGCUGUAAAUAGGAGAUGUUUGAAGGAAACCACCAUUUGAGCUUAUUUCUAUCACUUCCAUGAUUUUAUCUUUCCUUUUACAGGAAACUUUUCCAAGUCUGUUAUUAAUCGCUGACUUGUCCUGCUUUUCAUCAUUUGAUUUUUCUCAUACACAGUGGAGCUGUCCUCCCCAGUACCUGGCACAAUGCCAGGCACACAGAAGCUGCCUAAUACAUAUUUAAUGAAUGAAUGAAUGGAAGCAAGAGGUGACAUGAUUCUGGGAACUGUGUGUAGUUUGGACACCCUUGUGAGUAGAUGUGAGGAAACAAGGUCGUUUCACUCUCAACGUGUCUUACACUGGCCGGAAAAUUGCUAAUAUGUGUUCAGAGGUGCCUGUGUUCACACUGUGCCAUAUGGUUCAUCACCCAGAGUGAUAAAUGGGUCCAUACACGCUUGUGGAUGAUAAAAAUGACUUUAGAAUUUCCCUUAGUAAGAAUCAUUACACAACAGUCCAAAGGACUGUUGCCACGUGGUCCUAUUCGUGCUCUCAAGUCCUGCUUUUUUUAAAAAAAUUUUUUAAAGGAACGAGCGUCUUGCUCUAUUGCCCAGGUUGGACUCCUGGGUUGACGGGAUCCCUCUCCCUCCCAACAGCUGGGGCUACAGGAGUGCGCCACCUCACCCGCCUGGCUCAAUUCCUGCUCCUUUUGGUAUAUAAAGCAGACUGUGGCCCUAGGGCUCAUCCGCUAGUCACCAGCCACUGGAGCUUUACAGGAGAGAGUGGGAGGGGAGGCUCAGAGAGGUGACUCGGGAUCCAAAGUGUGCCCAGACGGGCCCUAACCACGUGGCGUGACCUCAGACGGAGCAGACAGACAGAUCAAGGACACCGAGUCCCCACCCACCGUGACCGCUCCAGGCUGAGUGCCAUGAGAGGACAGUGGCAACCUUGGAGGCCUCACGGUGAAGGUGGCAGAACCUUUGUUAGCCUGGGUGCUCAGGACGAAGAGCUGUUCUUGCCAACUGGGAACAUUUGCCUUGAGCUCUUUUGUGACAGAUAAGGUUUUACUAUACUUCAGCCAAGAUGCAAAUGUUGGAUAUAUUUGUACAGCAGCUAAAAGUACUCUAAUAAUACAUAUUAUGAAAUCACCACGUACCCAAAAUAUUAACAAAAUUCUUGCAAUAUUUGUAUGAGAACUGCUGGACUUUGCUUUCUUAACUCAUUUACUGUUGCUAUGGAAAAAAGAGAAUAACUUGGACAAUGAAAUAAUCUCAAAUGAGGUGGCUUUAUUUUUGCAGAUGUUGGAGGUCUUCUGUGAAUCACUGUGUGCAGAGAAUAUUUCUUUGUAAGAAGAUGGAAUAGUUUUUGUGACUGGUUACUGUCCCACUGUCCUUCCACCAGGGGCUUGGUCCCCUGUGAUCUGGGAGCUCACCCUUGCAGGCAGCUCCAAGUGACAGAGUGGCCUCAGUGUGUGACAACUGAUAUCUAGAUGCUGGCAGCGCUUGGAAGAAGUUGCUGUAUGUUUCUUAUUACUUUAAUCAUAAAUAAGCCUGUGGGUCUGUUUAUUUU